GGGGCGCGGCAAGGAGAGACACAAGGCUGAGCCAGGUCCAGGUCCUGACAGUACUGUCCAUCUGCCUGAGCGCCGUGGCCACGGCCACGGGGGCCGAGGGCAAAAGGAAGCUGUAGAUUGGGGUCAAGAAGCAGGUGGACCACUGUACCAUGAAAUCGCGUAAAGGGGAUGUCCUGCACAUGCACUACACGGGGAAGCUGGAAGAUGGGACAGAGUUUGACAGCAGCCUGCCCCAGAACCAGCCCUUUGUCUUCUCCCUUGGCAUAGGCCAGGUCAUCAAGGGCUGGGGCCAGGGGCUGCCGGGGAUGUGAGGGGGGAAAAGUGCAAGCUGGUGAUCCCAUCCGAGCUGGGGUAUGGAGAGCGGGGAGCUCCCCCAAAGAUUCCAGGCGGUGCAACCCUGGUGUUCGAGGUGGAGCUGCUCAAAAUCGAGCGACGAUCUGAGCUAUAGCCAGACUGGGGAGGGGUAGGGGGAGAGGCCCCCAUCAAGGACCAGACUGUUCCAAAAAAAAAA